rnacentral:rRNA from 1 species
GACAGAGGGUGCAAACGUUUGUUCGGAAUUACUGGGCGUAAAGCGCGUGUAGGCGGCCCUGCAAGUCGGGCGUGAAAUCCCACGGCUCAACCGUGGAAGUGCACUCGAAACUGCAGGGCUAGAGUCCUGGAGAGGAAGGUGGAAUGCUUGGUGUAGAGGUGAAAUUCGUAGAUAUCAAGCGGAACACCGGUGGCGAAGGCGGCCUUCUGGACAGUGACUGACGCUGAGACGCGAA